GACGAACGCUGGCGGCGUGCUUAACACAUGCAAGUCGAACGGAAAGGCCCUGCUUUUGUGGGGUGCUCGAGUGGCGAACGGGUGAGUAACACGUGAGUAACCUGCCCUUGACUUUGGGAUAACUUCAGGAAACUGGGGCUAAUACCGGAUAGGAGCUCCUGCUGCAUGGUGGGGGUUGGAAAGUUUCGGCGGUUGGGGAUGGACUCGCGGCUUAUCAGCUUGUUGGUGGGGUAGUGGCUUACCAAGGCUUUGACGGGUAGCCGGCCUGAGAGGGUGACCGGCCACAUUGGGGGUGAGAUGCGGCCCAGACUCCUGCGGGAGGCAGGAGGGGGAAAUAUUGCACAAUGGGCGGAAGCGUGAUGCAGCAACGCCGCGGGCGAGAUGACGGCUUUCGGGUUGUAAACCUCUUUCGCCUGUGACGAAGCGUGGGUGACGGUAAUGGGUAAAGAAGCACCGGCUAACUACGU
rnacentral:rRNA from 1 species